rnacentral:lncRNA from 1 species
AAGGGAAAGGAAGGAGAUAAGGGAACCAGUCCUCUGUUUGGGGCUCCUGUGCCAUUUUUGUCAAAGGCUCAACCAAGGCACCCCUUUCCUCUCCAUCCUACAGCCACCCUAUUGGCCAAGGGGCUCUCCUCGUCCACUGGGUGGACCAGUGCAGCCAGUCAGCCAGCACACUGGCCUAAUGCACUCCCUACAGCACACUUGCUGAAUCCCAUCACAGCUCUAGAUGCCCCAGUGCGCUCCCUCUCACAUCUGCACCGCGGGACUCAUCUCCUGCCGCCUUAUCUCUUCUCUUUUCCUUCGUAUGCCUCGUUCACAGCCACCUCCAAACCUCCGCUCAUACCAUUUCUACAGCUUGGAAUAUUCUCUUCCCUUUACUUGUUCAAUCUUUCACAGCCAGUCUCCAGACCUCUGUUGUCUCUGAAGCCGUCCCUGGCCGCUCCCGGCUUCUCCGCUGCUACUUUUACUUUGCUCUCUGGCCAGACUUGCAGGUGGUCUCCAGGUUAGCUAUUCAUAAAUACAGAGGGACUGAACACUACUCAGUGGUGAUUACAAUUUACUGAGCCUAUUAGGUACUAGAGAGUGUGUCUGCUUCCUCUUCCAUCUCUACCACAAAUCCGAGAACUUCGAGUUAUUCAUGUUAUUACCUAAUGUCGUGGAUUCACACUCUACGGAUCUGAAAUUUGAAGCAUCUUAACAACUGGUGGCAUCUUACAACUGCAGUGACUGUGAUGGAAGUCUGAUUGCUUCCAGGGAAUACCUGCAUUUGCUUCUGUCAGAACCUGGGACACUCCAAGCAGAGGCUACUUCAGAAUGAAUUCUAUGCCUGCUAGUGUGGACUCCAUCCACUGAGUGACCGGAGCACUGUUUUGUGGUACACAGCCUCACGGAAGUUUUAUUUUUCUCUCUGCCCCAUGUCUCCAGAUGGAGGCAGGCAUGUUUCCCCACCGACCUUUCUGCACAGCAGUCAUUUCUCUUUACUUUCACCCAGAGCAUGACUCUGGUGCCCCAGUUUUAUGUGCAGGUCUCCUGUUAGACUCUCCACCUUGGGCAUUUUUAAAUUUCUAAGUUGUGUUUAAAUCGAUGCUAUAUAAAAUAAUUGUUCGCACUUUAUCUCUAUGAUACGGUAAUUCCAUUUGCAUAUUUGAAAAAUGAAGGUGUUAGUUCAGAACCUGUGGGCAGAGGUGAGUGAAGGAAAAGUAAAGAGGCGCCUACAAAUGCCUGUUGAUUAAUUCACUGGUUGAUUGGUCCUGACCCUGCGUCUCUCGGAAUUAGAUUCUCAAUCGAUCCACUUUAUUCUGAAUCCAAAUCUCAGGUGAGCAGACUUUCAAAGAGGUACGCAUAGCUCGAUAUGUCAACUCGAGACAACAAAUGACAUUUAACUUGUCAUCAUUUCAAUCAUCGCAUCAGGGAUGGAAAGAGAGAAGUUGGGACUGUCCUGUGAGCACGUCUCAGGGCAGAGCAGAGGCCAGGUGGCUCCUCACCUUCCACCUCCAGCUCAGCUCAGCUCAUGAGGUCAAAGACCCUCAGAUCCCCCAGCUCCACCCAAGCUGGUUUUAAAAUUCCUUUGCACUUGUUAUGCUUUGAGGGUUUCUUUUGGAGAAAACCACAACUUUGAAUACUCAUCAGCAAUUCCACGCUCGGCCACAGGGAUGAAUCCCACAGGGCUCCUGCUGCAUGGAUCCAUGUAAGUAAAUCUGAAAACUGAGCAAAGUCAAUUUCCAGUAACGAGGUCACCUGAGGGUUAGCCUUGUGGCAGUGCAGUGACGGGAAGGGGCAGAAGGGCCUUCUGGGAGGCUGCUGAGAUCCCGUUUCCUCAUCUGAGCGCCUACUACAUUCAUGGGUUCACUUUGUGAGCUGAACCCUCAGGGCAUGUGUGGUUUUCUGUAUGAACAUUAGCCUUGAUUUUAAAAAGUUUAUUUAGAAGAAAAAGAAGAAAAUCUAAAGCACCCUGAAAACUUAACUGAGGUGUUUGGAAAUUACUCCUAAGAGAAAAAGACUCAUAAAGGGAGGAAGGGAGUGGGGAAAAUUGAGAAGAGACGAGGUGAUUUAAACUCCUACAAGCUGGGGGGGCUGCUGGGAGUCAGGUGGCUGGAGGGGACCCCCAGAACUUUCCAUAAGAUGCCAUCCAUGUCCCAAGGAACUGCAGCUACGAUGGCAGAGUUCAUAACACACUCCUAAGAGGCUAUUUUAGCAAAUACUCAAUGGGAAAACUGAAAACCAGGCUGUCCACUUCCAAAAACAACAAUUGGUGGCUUCUUUCCUGGCCUCGGAUCUCUGCGAGAAGAGAUGCUGAAGGUGCAGUGAGAGUCACAAAUGCGGUCAGUGAUCAUCUGUGGGUGUUCGAGGCAUCCACCUCCGCUGCGGCUGGGAAUGUUUCACUGGUUGGCCAGCUGAGCAACUGGAGGGGUCCUGGGUAGGCCCAGGGGCUUGGGAAAGCAUUUUAGGGAGCCCAUCCAGGCUACAAAGGUGAACGACACAUGGGUGCUGGGACCUACCCUGAAAGCUCUGGAUGUCUGCCCCUGGGCUAUCUCCGGGCUUAAAAAAAAAGCCAUUUCAGACGGUCGGGGUGAUGACCUGAAGCCCUAAGAUGCUGACUGUAUUACUGGUAAGAAUCCUUAUGAAUCAGUCAAGUCAUCAUCUUUCUGGGUCGGUUCGUGUUACAUAGAGGUAUGCGUGUGACCCACCCAGGCCCUGUGAAGUCUUGUGGAUUGUGUCUCCCACUUACAACUCAGCCUGUGUAAGAAAGAAGGAACCCCAAGAUGUGGUGGUUUACACUGGGCCCAGCCCAGGGGAGGGGAAGGUGAUGCAGGGUCCCAGCCACUGCUGAAAGCAGAGCUGUGUUUGCAGCUCUCUGGGAACAUGUGUGCAUCUUUGUUUUCUCCGUAAGGAAAGGAAAGGGACUUCCUGCAUGAGCCCUACUGCCUGAGGCUUAGGGGGAAAGUCUUUUUCCUGUUUCCAGGGAAAGGAAAAAAAAAAUCUAUCAAGCAAAUGAUUCAAGGCUCAACUCACACACUCACUGGAUCAACUGCAGGAGGCUGCUCUCUCCACAGAAUUGGGCCUGGUUCCCAAGCACCGCGAGGCGAGAGGCAACAAACCGUCCAGUAAAUAACAACAUGACGAGUUACUGACAUCUGCCUCAUGGGUCUUGGGAAAUGACUCGCAGUCACAUCAGCAUUUUUAAAAAUGUCUUGACAACCAAGCAGAAGGUAUGAAACUGCUCAUUCCCGGCACGUUGAGUUCAGCAGUAACAGGAAGAUGUUUUGCUCUGGGUGUUGCAGAAUGGGUCCCCUUUGACCUGCUCGGCUAGAUGUGUUCCCAGGCACAAAACAGGGCCUACUAGGGCUGGGGCAGCCGUGCGAGCUAGCUUCGGGGCCUUUGUGCAGUCUCUCUUCCCUCCUGAAGAAGGACCCUACUGUCUCCGCAUAGGAGACUGGAGCCGACUGCUGCUGCCUUUGAGAG